rnacentral:rRNA from 1 species
CCUACGGGUGGCAGCAGUGGGGAAUAUUGGACAAUGGGGGGAACCCUGAUCCAGCCAUGCCGCAUGUGUGAAGAAGGCCCUCGGGUUGUAAAGCACUUUCAGUGAGGAAGAACGCCUGGUGGUUAAUACCCAUCAGGAAAGACAUCACUCACAGAAGAAGCACCGGCUAACUCCGUGCCAGCAGCCGCGGUAAUACGGAGGGUGCGAGCGUUAAUCGGAAUUACUGGGCGUAAAGCGCGCGUAGGUGGCUUGAUAAGCCGGUUGUGAAAGCCCCGGGCUCAACCUGGGAACGGCAUCCGGAACUGUCAAGCUAGAGUGCAGGAGAGGAAGGUAGAAUUCCCGGUGUAGCGGUGAAAUGCGUAGAGAUCGGGAGGAAUACCAGUGGCGAAGGCGGCCUUCUGGACUGACACUGACACUGAGGUGCGAAAGCGUGGGUAGCAAACAGGAUUAGAUACCCGGGUAGUC